rnacentral:misc_RNA from 1 species
GUGAAUCAUCGAAUCUUUGAACGCAAAUUGCACUCUCUUCGGAGAGUAUGCCUGUUUGAGGGUCAGCCUAAAAAAAAAAUCGACAUCGUUGCUGUUUUGCGGUGGCGUUUGUCGGAAAUUGGGUUAUCUUAAAUCUUUGAUUUAAGCGACUUAAAAUUUUUUUUACGAUUCCAUGAACGUUUCUCAGUUUUAUUUCCUUACAUGUUU